rnacentral:misc_RNA from 1 species
GAACGCACAUUGCGCCCGCCAGUAUUCUGGCGGGCAUGCCUGUCCGAGCGUCAUUUCAACCCUCAAGCCCCCGGGCUUGGUGUUGGGGAUCGGCUCCUCCUCCUCUCCGGGGGGUGUUGCCGGCCCCGAAAUCUAGUGGCGGUCUCGCUGUAGCCUCCUCUGCGUAGUAGCAACACCUCGCACUGGAACGCGGCGCGGCCACGCAGUUAAACCCCCCACUUCUGAAGGUUGACCUCGGAUCAGGUAGGAAUACCCGCUGAACUUAAG